rnacentral:lncRNA from 1 species
ACAUGAGGCUCCUGAUUAAGGACAGGUGCAUACAACUGCAGCAGGUUUGAACGUUUACAACUAUACCUACAAAGGUUCUCAAAGUCUUAGGAACUAGGAAACACAAACAAUGUGAUACUAGUAAGCCUCACAUUCAACUAGUGGCUGAGCUGCCUGCAAUGUGAAUGUCUUACAAAAGUUUACACACCUGGCAUAUAUCUCACCAUCCUACAAUAGCACUUGUACCUAAAAUCAGCCUAAAUCUACAGACAUUACAAAACAAUUACAGUUUCAUGACAUUUUCAAAGGCCUAGCAAAUAUAUAGAAAACCAAAAUAACAAAAAACAUCAUUUAAAAAUCAUAUCCAAUAACAUACCAACCUUCAGAUCAAUAUCACCAGGAAACCAGAUGCUCCACUGAACAGUUGGGGCAAGUAUGAAACAC